CAUGAAGCCGGAAUCGCUAGUAAUCGCGGAUCAGAAUGCCGCGGUGAAUACGUUCCCGGGUCUUGUACACACCGCCCGUCACACCAUGGGAGUCGGGAAUGCCCGAAGUCAGUGGCCCAACCGGAAGGGGGGAGCUGCCGAAGGCAGGCCCGGUGACUGGGGUGAAGUCGUAACAAGGUACC
rnacentral:rRNA from 1 species